rnacentral:rRNA from 1 species
UUCCGGUUGAUCCUGCCGGACCCCACUGCUAUCGGGAUAGGACUAAGACAUGCUAGUCGUGUGCCUCAGCCAAAACGAGGCACGGCGUACAGCUCAGUAACACGUGGCUAACCUGCCCUUAGGACGAGAAUAACCCCGGGAAACUGGGGCUAAUGCUCGAUAGGUGAAGAACUCUGGAAUGAGUCUUCACUUAAAAGAGUCUGCGUUAUGCUCGUAGAUUUCGCCCAAGGAUGGGGCCGCGACCGAUCAGGUUGUUGGCGAGGUAAUGGCUCACCAAGCCUAUAACCGGUGCGGGCCGUGGGAGCGGGAGCCCGGAGAUGGGCACUGAGACAAGGGCCCAGGCCCUACGGGGCGCAGCAGUCGCGCAAACUUUGCAAUACACGAAAGUGUGACAGGGCUAUCCCGAGUGCCGUCCGCUGAGGAUGGCUUUUACCCAGUCUAGAACGCUGGGGGAAUAAGGAGAGGGCAAGUCUGGUGUCAGCCGCCGCGGUAAUACCAGCUCUCCGAGUGGUGUGGAUGUUUAUUGGGCCUAAAGCAUCCGCAGCUGGCCAAGUUAGUCCCUUGUUAAAUCCACCGAAUCGAUCGUUGGAUUGCGGGGGAUACUGCUCGGCUAGGGGACGGGAGAGGCAGACGGUAUUUCCGGGGUAAGGGUGAAAUCUUAUAAUCCCGGGAAGACCACCAGUGGCGAAGGCUGUCUGCUAGAACGCGCCCGACGGUGAGGGAUGAAAGCUGGGGUAGCGAACCGGAUUAGAUACCCGGGUAGUCCCAGCCGUAAACGAUGCAGGCUAGGUGUUUGGGCGGCCACGUGCCGCUCUAGUGCCGCAGGGAAGCUGUUAAGCCUGCCGCCUGGGGGAGUACGAUCGCAAGAUUGAAACUUAAAGGAAUUGGCGGGGGAGCACCACAAGGGGUGAAGCUUGCGGUUUAAUUGGAGUCAACGCCGGAA